rnacentral:lncRNA from 1 species
UUUGCCAGCAGGCGAUGGAAUAGGGACUACGAGACACCCUGCAGCCUCUCCUGGGAGGACAACGCCCCUUCUCCCUCUCCAUGCACUCUUGAGGCAGCAAAGAGGAGGCAUCUGGACGCGUUUACCUCCUCCCCACCCCCACAGCUUGGCCCUCACUAAACUAUCUUGUGUCCUUCCUCCUGCUAUGAUUGAUUCGCCCAGGAAGGAGGGAGCGCUCUCCCCUCCUCUGGGAGGCUGGAGACUCGGGGACAGAAGAUGCGCUGGAGGGAAGAGAACGGAGCGUCGGACACCAGAAAAACUUUGGGGGAUUCGGGGUGAGAAAGAAGGCGUGAAGAGAGAAGGGAGGCUCAGCAGGGGAGGAGGGGCGGGGGCGGGGGCGGGAGCGGGAGGAGUCACUGCGCCGCGGCCGCCCCUCCCCGCCCUCCACUCGGCGGCCCCGGGUCUUCCUCCCCCUCCUCCUCCCCCUCCUCCUCCCCCUCCUCUUCCUCCGCCUCCUGGUGUGGCUGGCUGCGGCCAGAAUCGGAGCCCCAACCGCGCUGCCGGUGAGUGACCAGCCCCAGGGGACAGAGACGGGAGGCCUGGGACCCCCCCUCUCCAGGGUGGGGCCUCCCGCCGUGUCUGGGAAAGUUUGCGGGCGCCCCGGGACGCGGGCAUCUCCAGGGCCGCUCGGCGCCUCCCCAUCUCCCCGCGCCCGCCCUGGCCGCCCCCAGGGGCGCCCUGGGGCCCGCAGAGGGAUGGCCUCCCGGCAGGGACUCCUCGGCUCCCCUCUGUUCUGAGACUGCUGCUGGGACCGGGGUCCGACUCUAAAGAGAAAACUCAAACAGCAAAAAAAGGAAUAUCGACUCAGUUCCGAGGGCGGGGGCCGGGGCUCGUUCUCACCCGCGCGCGGCCCCUCGACCUCUCGGACCCGGGCCACCAGCUCUGCGCCCCUCACGCCUCCCUCGGGGUCUCUGUGUCUCUCUCCCGCUCCCGGACUCCCUCCUCCUUCUGACUGCUGUUAUUUGGGCUGUUGUCCCUCCCCGCUCCCUGGUACCUCAGCUCGGACCUUAGCCUGUGCCUGCAGCCCGGAGUCCCCUCCUGCCCUGGAAGGCAAGGAGCCAGGCCACGGGGCCACAGCCGCGGGGGCCACCACACUGGCCCAAAUAUUUCCUGCAGGUAUGACCAUUCACUGGGUAUUGGGGUUGGGUCCCUUGGACCCACAAACUGAACCUCGUGGGUACAGGGAAAAAUUAAAAUAUAUUCCUCCUUAGGAUUGUACUGCUUCUGUUGGUUUGGCAUCUUUUUAUUUUUAACCCUUCUAACUGUGCUUUCUUCGAAUAAUAAUGAUACUUCAUGUAAUUAGCGUUUCUAAUAUCUAAAGACAGAAGAAGGAAGAAAAUAAACGGAAGAGAGAGAAUGCUUGCUAAAAAUACUCAUUUUUGACUUCAGUCCACACUCGACUGUUUUCCUGGGAGAUAGAAGUUCAGUGUAGCUUGUUUUCAGACUAACCGCAAACACGAUUACAGCCUCCUCCAGGCUAGAAGUUUUAAUUUGCCUGACAUGCAGCACACUGUUUGUUGGUAUUCCCAGCCUGGCAUUCCCGUCUGCAUAGCUCUAGUCUCCCUCCCAACUCCCCCACCCCCACUUUCUUUCUCAUAAAAGGGAGCUGUGAAAACAAGGCAAUGGGAGAGGCUCAAACGAGCUGGACCACAUAAUAAAAACAGCCCUACUUAUUUUAAUCCUGAGGCUAUGGACUCCCCUGGACUCUGAUUGGGUGGAAGAAUUGUUUAGUUCAUUUGUGUGGUUUUUCUGUCAGUAGUUAUUAUGGUUGAAUCAGUGUUUCCAUGACAGUCUUGCUUCUGUGGGCACGAUGGGGAGCCUGUUAAUUCUCGGAUGGGUCUGGACAGAUCAAGUCUGGAGUCUGGAGAGAUUUUUCAGGGCUUGACCUGGGCUGAUAUUGCAAACCUCUGCACACUCACUCAGAACCAGAGCAGCCGGGAGCAGCCUGAGCUGGGGUUUUCUUCCACAUGAUCUGGGAAGAAAAAGCUCUACCAAGGAGCGAACUGUGUGAGCAUGGUUGCUGGGGGAUGUUGAAUGUUUUACGUUUUUAGGAAGAACACACUUCUCAAAACUUUAGCCAUUCCUGUUUCCAUACAAACAAUAAAUGUGGUUGUAACAAAUGUAGUAGAUCAGAUUCUGAACAACCCCUUAAAAAACAGGUCCAAGUAUUGAACCAUUUGGAAAUAAAGAUUUUAUUUUAUUUG